GGCACAAGCAAAGUGUCUCAACGUCAAAGUACUUGGAAACUGGAAGGUACAACGGAGGUUGUUCUUACAUCAAGGGAACAUCAAGUGCAGCAUACAUCAGGAAAUGGAGGGUUGCAGAUGUUGGUUAAUUCUGUGCAUCAAGGUAACUGAUGCAAGACUGUUUUAUAUCAAUGCACCAUUCAAUUGACACAAGUUCAGUAGAAAAUUUGUAAAAAAGUAACAGAUUUAUAGGUUUGAUUACUCCAUUGUUCACUAAGCUUUUAAAU
rnacentral:misc_RNA from 1 species